CCUGGUUGAUCCUGCCAGUAUUCAUAUGCUUGUCUCAAAGAUUAAGCCAUGCAUUUCUAAGUAUGAACUAAUUCAGACUGUGAAACUAUGGAUGGCUCAUUAAAUCAGUUAUAGUUUUUUUGAUGGUACCAUACUACUCAAAUAACUAUAGUAAUUCUAGAGCUAAUACGUGCACCAAGUCCUAACUCUUUGGAAGGGAUGCAUUUUUUAGAUAAAAGGUUGGUGUGGGCUUGCCCACUUCUCUAGUGAAUCAUGAUAACUCAAAGGAUCAUAGAGCCCUUGUGCUGGCAAUACUUCAUUCAAAUUUCUACCCUAUCAAAUUUCGAUGGUAGGAUAGAGGCCUACCAUGGUGGUGAUGGGUGACAGAGAAUUAGGGUUAGAUUCUGGAGAGGGAGCCUGAGAAAUGGCUACCACUUCCAAGGAAGGCACCAGGCGCGCAAAUUACCCAAUCUUGACAUGGGGAGGUAGUGACAAUAAAUAACAAUAUUGGGCUCAUCGAGUCUAGUAAUUAGAAUGAGUACAAUCUAAAUCCCUUAACGAGGAUCCAUUGGAGGGAAAUUCUGGUGCCAGCAGCCAUGGUAGUUCUAGCUCCAAUAGCGUAUAUUUAAGUUAUUGCAGUUAAAAACCUCGUAGUUGGAUCUUGGGUCGUGAAGGUCAGUCUGCCUACUUGGUGUGCACCUACCCUUCCAUCCCUUUUUUUGACAACAUGCUCCUAGCCUUAAUUGGCUGGGUCACGGCUCCAACACUAUUACUUUGAAAAAAUUAGAGUUCUCAAAGCAAGCUUAUGCUCUAAAUACAUUAGUAUGGAAUAACGUGAUAGGAGUCUGGUCCUGUUGUGUUGGCCUUUGGGACCAGAGUAAUGAUUAAUAGGGACUGUUGGGGGAAUUCGUAUUUCAUUGUCAGAGGUGAAAUUCUUGGAUUUAUGAAAGAUAGACCAUUGUGAAAGCAUUUUCCAAGGAUGUUUUCAUUAAUCAAGAACAAAAGUUCAGGUCUCGAAGAUGAUCAGAUACCAUCCUAGUCUCAACCAUAAACGAUGCCAACCAGGGAUCAUCGGAUGUUGCUCUAAGGACUCCGCUAGCACCUUUUGAGAAAUCAGAGUGUUUGGGUUCUAGUGGGAGUAUGGUUGCAAGGCUGAAACUUAAAGGAAUUGAUAAAAGGGUACCACCAGGAGUGGAGCUCGUGACUUAAUUUGACUCAACACAGGGAAACUUACCAGGUCUAGACAUAGUAAGGGUUGACAGAUUUAGAGCUCUUUAUUGAUUUUAUGGGUGGUGGUGCAUGGUCGUCCUUAGUUAAUGGAGCGAUUUGUUUGGUUAAUUUUGAUAACAAAUGAGACCUCAGCCUGCUAACUAGAUACGCAGAGUUUCCCCUUCACGACCAACUUCUUAGAGGGACUAUGGCCAUUUAGGCCAUGGAAGUUUGAGGUAAUAAUAGGUUUGUGAUGCCCUUAGAUGUUCUGGGCUACAUGCAUGCUACACUGAUGUAGCCAACGAGUUUUUAUUCUUGGUUUGAGAGGAUCAGGAAAUCUUCUCAAAUUACAUCGUGAUGGGGAUAGACCAUUGCAAUUAUUGGUCUUCAACGAGGAAUUCCUAGUAAGCACAUGUCAUUAACUCAUGUUGACUACAUCCCUACCCUUUGUACACACCGGCCGUCACUCCUACCGAUUGAAUGAUCCAAUGAAGUGUUCAGAUUGCGUCAGCGAUGGUGCUUCGCCGCCCUCAACAUUGUGAGAAGUUCAUUGAACCUUAUCAUUUAGAGGAAGGAGAAGUCAUAACAAGGUUACCAUAGGUGAACCUGCAGUAG
rnacentral:rRNA from 1 species